rnacentral:rRNA from 1 species
GAUGAACGCUGGCGGCGUGCCUAAUACAUGUAAGUCGAGCGAACAGACGAGGAGCUUGCUCCUCUGACGUUAGCGGCGGACGGGUGAGUAACACGUGGAUAACCUACCUAUAAGACUGGGAUAACUUCGGGAAACCGGAGCUAAUACCGGAUAAUAUAUUGAACCGCAUGGUUCAAUAGUGAAAGACGGUUUUGCUGUCACUUAUAGAUGGAUCCGCGCCGCAUUAGCUAGUUGGUAAGGUAACGGCUUACCAAGGCAACGAUGCGUAGCCGACCUGAGAGGGUGAUCGGCCACACUGGAACUGAGACACGGUCCAGACUCCUACGGGAGGCAGCAGUAGGGAAUCUUCCGCAAAGGGCGAAAGCCUGACGGAGCAACGCCGCGUGAGUGAUGAAGGUCUUCGGAUCGUAAAACUCUGUUAUUAGGGAAGAACAAAUGUGUAAGUAACUAUGCACGUCUUGACGGUACCUAAUCAGAAGGCCACGGCUAACUACGUG